AACAAUGGCCCAUGGUCUCAUUUUAUCAUACUUGCUGUUUUUCCAUAAAUUGUAGAGAAAAAUCAAGUCAUAGGGUAUAUUCAGAGGGGAAGAAUGUGUUCAAAGUGAACACAGGAACUAAUCAGUCCUACAUUAGCUUUGAGCCAGAGGAGAAGAGUGAGAGUCAUUGAAAAGUUAUAGCAGAGGCAAAAGAAUGGAGAAGGCUACAGGACCUUCAGUUUUGUUCUACUGCUACUGCCUCUAAGAAGCAUCUUAUAAAGGCUGACAAUGUCAUGCAUGUAUUUAGAACCCCGAAUGAAGAAUAGUUCUUCUGGUGUGAGGAUCCACUGGGUUGCCACUGACCCAUUGCCUGAGGGUAUGCGAUGAAACCAGAAUCAGCAACUGUAGAUGGCAGCUAGCUCAGAAGGGGAAACGACACGUCUAAUAACCAACAGGAAUGGCUAUUAAUUAGCUGAAAUGACAAUAAUUAACAGAAAUGACAAGUCUAAUAAAUUUUCACUUAAAUGUUGUCAUAUGGCA